CAAUAGCGUAUAUUAAAGCUGUUGCGGUUAAAAAGCUCGUAGUUGGAUUUCUGUCAAGGACAACUGGUCCGCCCUCCGGGUGAGCACAUAGUUUGGUCUUGACAUCUUGCUGGAGGCUGUUGCUGCACUUGGCUGUGUGGCGCAGUGUUCAGCACUUUCACUUUGAGGAAAUUGGAGUGUUUCAAGCAGGCACAUGCCUUUGGACACAGUAGCAUGGAAUAAUUAGAUUGGGCUUUUGCUCCAAUUUGUCGGUUUCUGGAGCUGAGGUGAGUAUUAAUGGGGAUUGUUGGGGGCAUCCGAAUUUAGCCGUCAGAGGUGAAAUUCUUGGAUCUGCUAAAGACGGACAACUGCGAAAGCGUUUGCCCAGGAUGUUUNCAUUG
rnacentral:rRNA from 1 species